UCAAGUUAUUAAGGGUGCAGGGCGGAUGCCUUGGCACUAGGAGCCGAUGAAGGACGUGAUAAGCUGCGAUAAGCUUCGGGGAGUUGCACGUAAACUUUGAUCCGAAGAUUUCCGAAUGAGGAAACUCACUUAGAGUAAUGUCUAAGUAUCAUUAAGUGAAUACAUAGCUUAAUGAGGGGAACUCAGGGAACUGAAACAUCUAAGUACCUGAAGGAAGAGGAAGAAAUUCGAUUCCGUAAGUAGCGGCGAGCGAACGCGGAUUAGCCCAAACCAAUAAAGUUUUCUUUAUUGGGGUUGCGGACAUAUCAUAACGAAGAGGUAUCGUAAUUGAAGAGGUUUGGAAAGACCCACCACAGAAGGUAAUAGUCCUGUAUGUUAAACGAGAAGACUUUAGAUAUGAUCCAGAGUACCACGGGACACGUGAAACCCUGUGGGAAGCAGGAGGGACCACCCUCCAAGGCUAAAUACUACCUAGUGACCGAUAGCGUAUAGUACCGUGAGGGAAAGGUGAAAAGAACCCCGGGAGGGGAGUGAAAUAGAACCUGAAACCCUGCACUUACAAGCUGUGGAAGCACAUUUCUUGUGUGACCGCGUACUUUUUGUAGAACGGGCCAACGAGUUACGUUAAGUAGCAAGGUUAAGCACUUAAGGUGUGGAGCCGUAGCGAAAGCGAGUUUUAACUGAGCGUUCAGUUACUUGACGUAGACCCGAAACCGGGCGACCUACCCAUGAGCAGGAUGAAGCGAAAGUAAAAUUUCGUGGAGGUCCGAACCCACGAGCGUUGAAAAGCUCGGGGAUGACUUGUGGGUAGCGGUGAAAUUCCAAUCGAGCCCGGAGAUAGCUGGUUCUCCCCGAAAUAGCUUUAGGGCUAGCCUCAAGGUGAGAGAUACGGAGGUAGAGCACUGAAUGUCCUAGGGGGUAUUGCACCUACCGAAGACUAUCAAACUCCGAAUGCCGUCAUCUUAUACUUGGGAGUCAGACUGUGGGUGAUAAGAUUCAUAGUCGAAAGGGCAACAGCCCAGAUCGUCAGCUAAGGUCCCUAAAUGUAAGUUAAGUGGUAAAGGAUGUGGGAUUGCACAGACAACCAGGAUGUUGGCUUAGAAGCAGCCACUCAUUCAAAGAGUGCGUAAUAGCUCACUGGUCGAGUGAUCCUGCGCCGAAGAUUUCCGGGGCUAAAACUUACUACCGAAGCUACGGCAUCAGUAAUGAUGGGUAGGGGAGCUUCCCAUACGGGUUGAAGCAUGACCGUAAGGACAUGUGGACAGUAUGGGAGUGAGAAUGUUGGCAUGAGUAGCGAGAUGUGGGUGAGAAUCCCACAGGCCGUAAACCCAAGGUUUCCAGGGGAAGGUUCGUCCGCCCUGGGUUAGUCGGGACCUAAGCUGAGGCCGAAAGGCGUAGGUGAUGGACAACAGGUUGAUAUUCCUGUACUACCGAUAACCAUUUGAGAGAAGGGAUGACACAGUAGGAUAAGCUAAGCACACUGUUGGUUAUGUGUGCCCAAGCAUUGAGGCAGUCAAAGUAGGCAAAUCCGCUUUGAUAAUGCUGGGAUGUGAUGGGGAGCGAAAUUUAGUAGCGAAGUAGCUGAUUUCACACUGUCAAGAAAAGUCUCUAUCGAGGUUAAAGGUACCCGUACCGCAAACCGACACAGGUGGGUGAGGAGAGUAUCCUAAGGCCAGCGAGAGAACUGUUGUUAAGGAACUCGGCAAAAUGACCCCGUAACUUAGGGAUAAGGGGUGCCACCAUCAGGUGGCCGCAGAGAAUAGGCCCAAGCGACUGUUUACCAAAAACAUAGGUUUCUGCUAAGUCGCAAGACGAUGUAUAGGAGCUGACGCCUGCCCGGUGCUGGAAGGUUAAGGGGAUCUGUUAGAGCAAUCGAAGCAGUGAACUUAAGCCCCAGUAAACGGCGGCCGUAACUAUAACGGUCCUAAGGUAGCGAAAUUCCUUGUCGGGUAAGUUCCGACCCGCACGAAAGGCGUAACGAUUUGGGCACUGUCUCAACAACAGACUCGGUGAAAUUGUAAUUCCGGUGAAGAUGCCGGAUACCUGCGACAGGACGGAAAGACCCCAUGGAGCUUUACUGUAGCUUGACAUUGGGUCUUGGUACUACAUGUACAGGAUAGGUGGGAGGCUUUGAAACCAGGACGCCAGUUUUGGCGGAGCCAUCCUUGGGAUACCACCCUUGUAGUACUGGGACUCUAACCAUAGGCCAUGAAUCUGGUCUUGGGACACUGUCAGGUGGGCAGUUUGACUGGGGCGGUCGCCUCCCAAAAGGUAACGGAGGCGCUCAAAGGUUCUCUCAGUACGGUCGGAAAUCGUACGUAGAGUGUAAAGGCAAAAGAGAGCUUGAUUGCAAGACAUACAGGUCGAGCAAGGAUGAAAAUCGGACUUAGUGAUCCGGUGGUUCUGCGUGGAAGGGCCAUCGCUCAACGGAUAAAAGCUACCCUGGGGAUAACAGGCUUAUCUCCCCCAAGAGUCCACAUCGACGGGGAGGUUUGGCACCUCGAUGUCGGCUCAUCACAUCCUGGGGCUGUAGUAGGUCCCAAGGGUUGGGCUGUUCGCCCAUUAAAGUGGUACGCGAGCUGGGUUCAGAACGUCGUGAGACAGUUCGGUCCCUAUCCGUCGCAGGCGUAGGAAAUUUGAGAAGACCUGUCCUUAGUACGAGAGGACCGGGAUGGACGUACCUCUGGUGUACCAGUUGUUCUGCCAAGGGCAUGGCUGGGUAGCUAUGUACGGAAUGGAUAAGCGCUGAAAGCAUCUAAGCGCGAAGCCAACUUCAAGAUAAGAUUUCCCACCGCAAGGGUAAGACCCCAGAAAGACUAUCUGGUUGAUAGGUCGAAGGUGUAAGUGCAGCAAUGUAUUUAGCUUAUCGAUACUAAUAGGUCGAGGACUUGACCAA
rnacentral:rRNA from 1 species